AGGAAAUGAUGCAUGGGGAGGGGAGUUUUAUAGUACCUAACUUUUUUCUGAUUGGUUGUUUUACUGUGCUGCUGUGGAGUUCUAGUUAAGAGAGACUUAAGCAAAUACAACACGAAGCCUUCUGUCAUGUUAUAAAAUCUAAACCAGAGAGGGGAAUGCGCUGUAUGCAGGAUAUAUGUGUAAAUAUAAACCGGAGAGGGAAACGCGCUGUAUGCAGGAUAUAUGUGCAAACCUAAACCGGAGAGGGGAACGUGCUGUAUGCAGGAUAUAUGGGUAACUCUAAACCGGAGAGGGGAACACGCUGUAUGCAGGAUAUAUGGGCCGAAUGGUUCUUAUCUGCCGUCACAUUCUAUGUUUCUCUAUGUGUAAAUCGAAACCG